AAUGAACGUUGGCGGCAUGGAUUAGGCAUGCAAGUCGAGCGAGAAGGGUUUUGAAGCUUGCUUUAGGACCCGGACAGCGGCGAAAGGGAGAGUAACGCGUAGUUAUGUGUCCUAGGGUCCGGAAUAGCCACGGGAAACUGUGGGUAAUGCCGGAUAAUAUCCCCGGAUCAAAGGUGUGAUUCCGCCCUAGGAGCAGACUGCGUCCUACUAGCUAGUUGGUGGGGUAAUGGCCCACCAAGGCAACGAUGGGUAGCGGGUGUGAGAGCAUGACCCGUCUCACUGGGACUGAGACACUGCCCAGACACCUACGGGUGGCUGCAGUCGAGAAUCUUCGGCAAUGGGCGAAAGCCUGACCGAGGGAUGCCGCGUGCGGGAUGAAGGCCCUCGGGUUGUAAACCGCUGUCGUAGGGGAGGAAGGUUUCGUGAAGAGCGAAAUUUGACCUAUCCUAGGAGGAAGUACGGGCUAAGUUCGUGCCAGCAGCCGCCGUAAGAC
rnacentral:rRNA from 1 species